AAUGAACGUUGGCGGCGUGGAUUAGGCAUGCAAGUCGCGGGAAUCCAGCAAUGGGGAACCGGCGUAAGGGGCAGUAAUGCGUGGGUAUUUACCCUGGGGUCUGGCAUAGCCCUGCGAGAGCAGGGGUAAUUCCAGAUGAUGCCGUGAGACCAAAGGUCCGCCGCCCUAGGAGAAGCCCACGUGAUAUUAGCUAGUUGGUGAGGUAAUGGCUCACCAAGGCGAAGAUGUCUAGCGGGUGUGAGAGCACGACCCGCGCCACUGGCACUGAGAACUGGCCAGACACCUACGGGUGGCUGCAGUCGAGGAUCUUCGGCAAUGGGCGAAAGCCUGACCGAGCGACGCCGCGUGGGCGAUGAAGGCCUUCGGGUUGUAAAGCCCUGUCGAGGGGGAGAAAAGAGCAAUCUUGAUCUAUCCCUGGAGGAAGCACGGGCUAAGUUCGUGCCAGCAGCCGCAGUAACAC
rnacentral:rRNA from 1 species